UGCGGCAGGUGUUGAUCUGAUCACAGCCUGCGAUAUCCGUCUGUGUACCCAGGACGCCUGGUUCCAGGUCAAGGAAGUAGACAUUGGAAUUGCAGCAGACGUUGGAACCCUCCAGAGACUUCCCAAAGUCAUCGGCAGCCGCAGCCUGGUGAACGAGUUGGCUCUGACUGCCAGGAAGAUGUAUGCAGAUGAAGCAAAGAGCAGCGGACUGGUCAG